ACACACCCUAAUAAUGUGACAAAAACACUUUUAUUUUCUUCUCAUUGACGUUUGUGGCCUCGUGUGCCUGCGUAUGUACUUCUAUUGUUUGACAUUAACUCCUAUACCCUGAUUUAUUGAAUAAAUCUUCAGCUGAAAAUUGCCUGUAGAAAUUACCAGGGAGAGCGAGUGAGAGUCUGUAAUUGCAGCUAAACACCCUCGCUUAGUGGCUAAUUACCCGCCAUGGCCGUUAGUACAUUACCACGUGGCUACGGGGCAGAGAGGGAGGUGUAUCUUACCAAUCACACCUCGCGCCACCGCAACAUGAUACAACACGUGACACAUAGACGCUAAAUGCACACAAACAUGCGCACCCGCACCAACCAAACGAUUAUCUCUACAGCACCCACCUGCCACACCCCCAAACCGUGUAGUCAUCAUCAUGAUCUAGUCUGGUUUUAAUUGUGUUUUCCAUUCAGUGAUGCUUUCAUCUCAUGAGCCCCUGGAGCUUUUCAUGUAGAUAUAGUUUGAUUAGAUGAUACAUCUUACUUUUCUCUCUCUCUAUCCUCAUCUUCCAUUUCUCAUCUUCCAUUGGCACCUCAGACCAAGGUCUGAUUUAAGAUCGACAUUGAAACGACUGACCACAGCAGAGGCUCAACUGACCAACACUAUAGACCAAUUUGACUCCCUGUUACACCUCAGUCCUGUGCAUAUUGUCUCCUUUCUCUUCUGUCUCUUCUUUCUCUCAUUCUGUCUCUGUCUCUCUCCCUCUACACUCCCCCCUCAGUUUCAGACCGGCAGGAUGCCAUCGACCAGUUUCUGCAGGUGUACCAGCCAUUAGAGUCUAAGCCUCACCUCUGGGAGCUGCCCACUGACUUCUACCUGCACCAGAGGAACUCUAUGGCAGUGUUUCCCAACCCUGGUCCUCGAGUACCCCCAACAGGACAGUUUAGUUGACAGACUAGUCCUUGACAAGCACACGUCAUUCAACUCAUUGAGGGCUUGAUGAUUAGCUGACAAUUGAAUCAGUUGUGCUUGUCCAGGGAUACAAUAAAAAUGUGUACUGUUGAGGGUACUCAAGGACCAGGGUUGGGAAACACUGCUCUAUGGUACCACCAAUGACAGGCACAGGUACACGUAUGCACGCAUAGAGUACACACACAUACACACACACACACACACACACACACACACACACACACACACACACACACACACACACACACACACACACACACACACACACACACACACACACACAGUUUGUACAGCUAACCUUGUGGCGACACAGAAUUCAGUCCCAUGCAAAAUCCUAUUUUCCCUAACCCUUAACCAUAACGGAUACACAUCAUCAUGGCAAGCACAUAAAGUUUGCGCCUUUUGUUGCAGCUAGAACUGAUCACUUGUUUGUCAGUGACAAGUAACAUGACCAGAUGGAUCAAUACAAUUCAAUUUCACACAUCGCGCCAAAACGGCCCAAUCACAGCUGUGUAUGCAAACGAAAUGAUGACCGGUAGCAGGAUUUUCUAACAGUAAAAAAAAGGUAGCUACAUGCCUUGAAAAAAAAGGUUUCCUAAUCAACUUGAAAAAUAAAUGGAGCCUAACGAGAUUGAGCAGGUUCAGGAGACACACACAGAGACAGAGCGAGAGGCCGGGUCUUCUGAAGACCAUGAGGAAGGAAAUCCCUGGCCGCAUCUCAAAGAACACUUCAGCUUCAAGCAGAGAAGAGGAGACAGUGUAAUUAUGGAAUGUAAGCUCUGCGUACCAAAGAGGGUGGCGGUGGCCGCCUACAAAAACUCUGCGUCAAACUUGAGGAAACAUGUAAUGGUACGAAAAGUAAAGUUUUAAAUAUAUGUUAUUGCCAUGAAUGGCGUUUGUUGUGUAGGUUAUGUAAUGUAGCUAACUAAGUGUUGCUACUAGCCAGUUGCAUUCAAUCUGUAGCAUAAUGCUAACUUUAGCUAGCUCAUCCUGUUGCUAGCUAGUUAGAAGCUAACCCUGACCAACGUCUUUACACAGCUGAAGGAACUAUAAGCUGUAAUGCGGGCUACUACCGCAUUGACUUUAUGGUGACUAGUAGCUAGCCAUCCCCAUAAGGUAAGUUGUUGGGGAUAGCUAAAAGUGAAAUUAAGGAACUUGUGAAGAUAAAAUAAAAUGACACAUUUUGAGACCUGGGAUUUUUAGGUAUGUGCACAAUCUUUUUUUUGCUUGCUUAUCACCUAGCUAUAUCUGGUUGGAUCACUGAGUUUUGAAUAAUAGCCAAAAAUCAUGUUUGGUAAAACUAUAGUUGGGGAAAAGAAAGAACAAUAUUCCCCAACAUCUGUAUGUAUUUGGACAGUGACAUUAUUCUAAACAUGCUGUAAUUUCUAAAUGUUUUAUUUGAUAUGAAUAAAAACACCUUAUAGCUGACAGUCUGCACUUUAACCACAUUGUCAUUAUAUAUUUUAAAAUCCAAUGUGCUGGACUACAGAGCCAAAACAAAAUUUUUGUCAUUGCCCAUACACUUACAGAUUGCACUUUAUGUGCUGGUUUAAGUUAAUUUGUAUAAAACCAAACUGGUCAGGUUAUAUACAUUUUGCCCAGAUUGAUGCAAUAAUUUUGUCCACAGAGGAAACAUCCAUUAAAGAUAACAAACUACAAUAUGCUCACCUCUGUAACCACAACAAAGGAACCAAGGAACUAUCAAACACCUCUUCAACUUGCAAGCAAGCAAAUAUGUCUGAAAUGAUGGCAGUGGGAGGAGCCAGGUGGGUCUCACAGGCAACCGUUGACAAGCAUGUCAUUCAUUUGAUCUGUGAGGGCCAACAGCCAUUCUCUGUGGUCGAACAACCAGCUUUUAAAGAGUUGGUAACCACCUUGCAUCCUCAAUGCAAAGUGAUCUCCAGACCUACUGUUCGUUCAAGAAUACAUGAAGCUGCCAAUCACAUGAAGAAGACAGUUAUGGCACACCUUGGCAGGGUAAAUUAUGUUGCCACCACCACUGAUUGUUGGACAGCUCUUCAAAGGAGUUACAUCGGGGUCACAUGUCACUGGAUAGAUGAAGAAACUCUGGUGAGACGUUCUGCUGCACUUGCUUGCAAGAGAUUGAGAGGUUCCCACACAUUUGAUGUGCUUGCAUGUGCCCCCGAUGACAUCUAUUGUGCAUACAGGAUCAGGGGGAAAGUGGUAAGAACCACAACAGACAGUGGAUGAAACUUCAUCAAAGCAUUCAAUGUUUUUGGUGAGCAGAGCCAGGCAGUCGAGUCAGCAGACCAAGACACAGAUGCUGAAGAGCCAGCAGAGCAGGUUGAAUACCAAGACACCUAUUCCAUCCUGGAAAAUGACAGUGGCCUAGAAUAUCAACUCCCUCAGCAUCAACGGUGUGCAUGUCAUCUGCUGAAACUCAUUGCAACAACAGAUUCUGCGUUGGCAGAAACAAAUAGUGAUAGCUACAAAAUGUUGUCCAGGUGGUCUUUUGCCAAAUGCCAAGCCAUGUGGAAUAAAACAGGCCGGUCAACCUUAGCUGCUGAAGUUGUAGAGAAUGAGCGCAAACUGCAGUUGAUCUGUCCAAAUCAAACACGUUGGAACUCAACUUACCUGGCUGUGGAGAGGAUCACACGUAUCAUACAAGAGAAGGGGGAGGAUGCCAUAAGAAAUGUGUGUGAAGAACUAAAAGUGAAAAUGCUGAGCCCGGCAGAAAUGUCCUUCUUGAAUGAGUACAGCAAAGUGAUGAAGCCUUUGGUCUCAGCUUUGAACAUUCUACAGUCUGAGACCAACACGUAUAUGGGGUGGCUGCUGCCAGGGAUUUUUUACUAAAAACAAAACUUCAAAGGCUGAAAGCAUCUUGCCAAAUGUGCCUACCCCUUAUCAAAGCCAUUCAGAACGGUCUCCAAAAGCGCUUUGGAGAAAUGAUGGAGGAGCCACAGCUUAUUGCUGGUGCAAGCUUUCUGCCAAAGUUCCAGACGUCUUGGACUGACAAAGCUGAUGUCAUCACAGCCGGUUUGGCAUACCUGAAGAACCAUCUUGACACAAUCACACAGGACGAGACUGAGCAUCUAAGGCAGCAUUCAUCUGAUGAAGAGGAUUUCAUCUCUUCACUGACAACCAAACGGUCAGAAGGUACAGGGGAGCUGGAUGGGUAUCUGGUUAGUCCAUCGGACAAAAUGGAUUUACUUCAUUUGUUUCCGUCCAUAAAGAAGUUGUCCCUCAAGUUCAACACAGGCCUGUCUGCAUCUGCCGCCUGUGAGCUUCUUUUUAGCUGUACUGGACUACUCUUCACUGCAAAGCGAGCCAGGAUAGACUCAAUUAACUUCAAAAAUCAGCUCCUACUGAAACUGAAUGGUAAAUUCAGAGAAGUGAAGUGAGUUGAGAGUUAGUUCCACAAAAAAUAUGCCUUUUGAACAUUCCUUUGAAAAUUUGUGUAUGUGAAGAUUAAUAUGAAAUAUUAAAAUCAGCUGUGCUGGAUCUUAUCUUGUUGGUUAUUUUCUGGUGUUUUAUGGAACAUUUAUCCUGUCAAGCAUCAAAUGUAAGCAAUAUUACAUAUACAGUAGUAUAUAUAAAAGUAUUCUUUUUUAUAUUAAUUUGUUUGUGAAGCUUGCACUCAAUUGCCACACCCUUUUCACAUGAACUUCCAUUCUUGUAAAAGGAGAAUAAAAAUAACCAUCAAAAUUGAAAUAGCAAAUUAUUUUAGAAGUAAUAUAGUAACUUUUGUUCUGAGUACUUUUUAAAUGUGCUAUUUUUUACUUUUACUCUAGUAGUUUUUUACAGUACUCUUUCCACCCCUGCUUUUAUGGUCUAAUUACAGUACAGGUCUAAUUGAAACGCCUAUCAAUAUAACACGUUGUCAUCCAUACUCCCUCUGACCUGGCGGACUCACUAAACACAAAUACUGCGUUUGUAAAUUAUGUCUGAGUGUUGGAGU